rnacentral:rRNA from 1 species
GUGUCAGCCGCCGCGGUAAUACGUAGGGGGCUAGCGUUGUCCGGAAUCAUUGGGCGUAAAGCGCGUGUAGGCGGCUUGGUAAGUCCGUUCUGAAAGCCUGGGGCUCAACCCCAGGAGGCGGAUGGAUACUGUCAAGCUCGAGUCCGGAAGAGGCAAGUGGAAUUCCCGGUGUAGCGGUGAAAUGCGCAGAUAUCGGGAGGAACACCAAUGGCGAAGGCAGCUUGCUGGGACGGUACUGACGCUGAGACGCGAAAGCGUGGGGAGCAAACAGGAUUAGAUACCCUGGUAGUCCACGCCGUAAACGAUGGACACUAGGUGUGGGGGGUGUCGACUCCCUCCGUGCCGAAGCUAACGCAUUAAGUGUCCCGCCUGGGGAGUACGGCCGCAAGGCUAAA